GCGGGAGGCUUAACACAUGCAAGUCGAGGGGCAUCACGAGGUAGCAAUACUUUGGUGGCGACCGGCAGACGGGUGAGUAACGCGUAUGCAACCUACCCUGUACAGGGGGAUAACCCGGAGAAAUUCGGACUAAUAUCCCAUAAUAUUAUUUGGAGGCAUCUUCGGAUAAUUAAAGUUCCGGCGGUACGGGAUGGGCAUGCGUAACAUUAGCUAGUCGGUAAGGUAACGGCUUACCAAGGCUUUGAUGUUUAGGGGUCCUGAGAGGGUGGUCCCCCACACUGGUACUGAGACACGGACCAGACUCCUACGGGAGGCAGCAGUGAGGAAUAUUGGUCAAUGGGCGCAAGCCUGAACCAGCCAUCCCGCGUGCAGGAAGACGGCCCUAUGGGUUGUAAACUGCUUUUCCGAAAGGCGAAACUCAGCGACGUGUCGUUGAUUGACGGUAUUUCGGGAAUAAGCAUCGGCUAACUCCGUGCCAGCAGCCGCGGUAAUACGGAGGAUGCGAGCGUUAUCCGGAUUCAUUGGGUUUAAAGGGUGCGUAGGCGGACUAAUAAGUCAGUGGUGAAAUCCUGCAGCUUAACUGCAGAACUGCCAUUGAUACUGUUAGUCUUGAGUUUGGUUAAGGUAGGCGGAAUGUGUAAUGUAGCGGUGAAAUGCUAGAUAUUACACAGAACACCAAUUGCGUAGGCAGCUUACUGGACCGACACUGACGCUGAGGCACGAAAGCGUGGGGAUCGAACAGGAUUAGAUACCCUGGUAGUCCACGCCGUAAACGAUGAUUACUCGCUGUUGGCGAUACACAGUCAGCGGCUAAGCAAAAGCAAUAAGUAAUCCACCUGGGGAGUACGGCCGCAAGGUUGAAACUCAAAUGAAUUGACGG
rnacentral:rRNA from 1 species